CGGCGACGAGCUCAGGUGAGCUUUCUCCCUUCUUCUUCUCUCUCUCUCUCUCUCUCUCUCUCUCUCUCUCUCUCUUUCUUUCUUUCUUUUUUUUAAAAAAAACAAGUUGGCCUUUGGAGAUACCCUGGGGUUGGGGUCAUUACAAUUCUCCCCCACUUACAAGGAAUUCGUCCCCGAAUUCAAGUCAUAAGCUGACAUACACAAUGUUAUCAUAGAAAAACCUCCAAAACCUCGAAUUCUAAUCCUCGCUCGGCCUUUCAGGUCUCCUCCUGAGUCUUAUCUCCCUCCCAACGAACUCGGACAAACACGGUCGCCAUUCCCCGAACUGUUUUCUCUUGAUGAUCCAAAAUCUUCAAUAGAUGAUAAGGUCCAUAAAAUCUUUAUGAACUCACUUGACGUCAACUGCAAAAUAAUUAUAGCGCCUUCUCAACUUUUGCAAUGCUGUCAUAUGAACCAAGUCCUAGAAGGCUGAUAUACUGCUGAUAAAGUAACUGCAAGCAACUAAUCCAAUCCACUCCAGUGCAGGAUACAAUUCCAUGUGUCUCGGUUUAAGCUCCUUUAUCUUCUGAGUCUUAGGCCCCUCUUGAAAUGUCCUUAUUUUCAGGUAUAUUAAGUCGCCCAUAUGUAGCUCCAAAUAUUUAUGGCGCUUAGCUGCAUAAAUCUUCUGACGUCAUGGGAUUCCGAAAGCCCAUCAUUGAGCAUUUCCAUUUGCUCAGCCGUCUUUUGAACCAUUAAUACUUUUAACUCAUGUCGCUCCCCCACUUUGGUCCAACAAAGUGGUAUACUAUAAGGUCUACCAUAAAUAACCCUUGUAUAGUAAUUUUUUUUUUUUUUUUUUUUUUUUUUNNNNN
rnacentral:lncRNA from 1 species